rnacentral:RNase_P_RNA from 1 species
GCUGCCGGACGGCUCGUCGCUCGCCUGCCUUGAUGGCGGCGAGAGGAAAGUCCGGGCAACGCAGAGCGCCAUACUUUCUAACGGAAAGCUGUCGGAACUCAACAUAACGGCAGAGUAACGUGACAGAAAAUAACCGCCCGACGCGAUCUCUUCUCUUCCGGGAAGAGAUUCGCGCGGGUAAGGGUGAAAAGGCGGGGUAAAAGCCCACCGGCGCCGAUGGCGACAUUGGCGGCCGCACGUCUUAUGGGUUGCAAGGUCAAGUAUACCGGCAAUUAAGGGUUGCUCGCCCGUUGCCGGGGGGUAGACUGCUAAAGCGCGCGUGGCAACACGCCGCUCAGAUAAAUGACGGGCCGGCAC